rnacentral:lncRNA from 14 species
UUCUUUCUGUAUCUUUUAAGAGCCAUUAGGCAGGUGCUAGCUUGUCCAUGGGAGCCUGCUGUUGUCUUCUGAUCACAAUCCUGUGAGAGCUUCCUACUGUGAUAAGAUCACUUAAAGUCUUCAGUCUUGCUGGUGAGCUGUCUGGGACAGUGAGAAGUAUGAUGGCAAGGUUGUCUGAUGCCCAUCCGGGCUUUUUAGCUCUUCCAAACACGAAGAUGACAAGAAAACAGGGAUGCUGGAGGUCAUGUUCUGGUUUCCCUGGGUUCACCCACUGCUUGAUGUGGUGUCUCAUUCCAAAUCCAUUUCCUUGCAGAUUUCACAGGAAGAAAAGCAUUGAAGCCUUUGAGGCCCAUGGCAACACAGCUCUGCAUAUGGCAGCCGCAUUGCCUUGUGACAAGAACCAGAAAGAAAUUGUCCAGUUACUCCUUGACCACGGGGCAGACCCAAGCAUCCGAAAUUUGGACAAUGAUCAACCAAUCCACAUGGCUCCUUCUGGAAAAGCUGGAGAUCAGGUUAGGCAUUUGCUGAAGAAAGGGAAAGUUGCAUCUGCCUUCAUUUCAUGUCACCAAAGUACCAGAUCCUAGGUUGCCUGCAGGUUCCAGAAUGGCUUCAACCUCAUCUUGCUGAUUGCACUCUUAGGAGAAUCAAAGCAUCCCUGCUCCUAGAGUCUUUAAAUCAGAGUGGGAUGACAGUGUUUCUCAACCUAUGGACCAUGAGUAACAUAUCAGAAGAUGAGCUUUCAAAUGCCUCAAGCAUUGCUUGCAAGCAAAGAGGCAAGCAAAGCAAAUGGCUGUUACAUAAAUAACCAACCUGUACUUGAUUUGGUGGCAACUGAAACUCGUAGUGGUAAAGGAACACAAGAGAGUAGUUUGGUUAUAAAAGGUUGAGAAAUACUGCUCUCGGACGUGGUCAACCCGUGCCUCUUGUUAGAUGCUGUAACAGGGGUACUGGUUGAAAUGUUGAAGCCUUUUUGAUGUGCAAUUACAUUCACUGUGCCUGCUAGCCUGGGAAUGCUGGAACCUGAUGGGGAGGAAAAGAGUGGAUGGAAGAGGACAUGUCAGCUUGAGGAGUCAUCCAUGGCUGUAUUGUACUAGAAUGAAUGGACAUUUGAACUCAAGAGCUCCAGGAGAGGGUUUCUGCAAGCUGCUACUACCCCAUUUCUUAGCACUUUGUGGAAGAAAGCUGAAGCAGCUGUCCAUUGCCACCACACUUAACAAGAGAGAUGCUUGUAAGUGCAGCUACAUGGGAAGGUUCUCAGCAGGGCAGGUUCUCAGCAGUACAGUUCUGUGUGGCUCCUGAAUGCUUCCUAGUGAAGGGAUCCCUCUUUGAGUCAUCUGAUCCAAUCCAAGUUUCCAGCUCUGAUGGUAUAUAGCAGCUCUGGAAGUGCUACAGUGUGAGGAGCUGAAACCUCACCUGAGCUAAUGCCUGUAUAGGAGACCAAGGCUUCCUUUGGGUCUUGAACAGCUUUUAGGCAUGGAGAGGGUAAAAAAUCUUUAAGCUGUGUAUGCAUGUGCACAGCAGGGUCAGAGUGCAAUGUGCUAAGUGCUUUUCUAUUCCCAUUAUUAUCCAAGGGGCGUGUUAAUAGAUUCUUCUUAUCCUUUCUGUGAAAUGAUUUGUGAAUUGCUAUGCAAUCAACUGACAACAAUGUCUGCUGGGUCAAUAGGAUUGAAGGCAGAUCCCUGCUGGAAGAGAAGACCAUGUUUUGACAACCCCUUCACAAAGGGAGUCUCAUCUUCAGUACACAUUCUGAAUCAGAGUUCACUGAUUUCUCAGUGUUGCACAAGUUAUUAUUUCUAACAGGACUAAACAACAAGAUGAAGGGCACAUGUCUGAAAUCACUGCUGUAACUUCCUUUAUCCCCCACUGACUAACUCAAAUGAAGGAUUUCUAAAGCACUUGUCAGACUCCCAGACCUGGACUGUUUAAACAACUGUUUAGCAGACUUGAACAAAAGUCCUUAAGGAAUGCGGAGAUCUCAGCUUUCACAGACCUCAUCUCUGCUGUUUCGCUAUUGCUUCUCACUACAUCAUAUUUACAAACCUGCCAACAUCCGCUGACAAUAAAAAGCUGAGUUGUAUUUGCA